AGCCUUGGAAUGAGCACAUAGCGAACUAUUCUUUCGUCUUUUACUGAAGACUACCGUGUGCUCGUUGCAAAUAGUGGUAUACGCUAAUUUUUGGAGGGUGGAAGAAGAAAAGAU